rnacentral:misc_RNA from 1 species
CACAUGAUCAGUGAAAAAGAGCCAAGGCAGCGGUGCGCAGAACCUUCACACACACACACACACACACACACGAAACAGGGAGGCUUGAGACACGGGGGUAAGAAAAGAUGAUGACGGAUCGCGCCUUGGGCACGCUGUUGCUGGCGUGCAACUCGAGCUUCUUCAUCUACUACGUUCUUUGGAUUGGUGUAAUGCCGUUCGUGGACGAGUCGCACUUCACGCAAGCACUCUUUCUCCCCCGUGAGUACGGUCUGCUCCUCGCGGCACUCAUCAUGACGACCGCUAUCGGGGUCGGCAUGUUCGUUGGAUCUCUUCACACCAUCUGGAGGACUGGCUACGUGCCGCCGUCGUCAAGAACGUCGAUGGGGACCGAGGCAACCCUAUUAGCAUCAGGAGCGACCACAGAUAGAGUGGCGCCAGAUGUCACCAUGGCGGCCAAGUGAAGCGCGGCUGGGGUAGGCGGUGUUGCUUGUGUUUUGCUUCUGAGCGGAAGCGAGGGUAGACAGACCCCCUCCCUGCACGAGAACAGAUAUCGGGCCGCAUCUGUCGGUGUUCACCGCUUUUCUUCCGAUGCCUGCGUGUGCCCGUCGCUUGCGCUGCGCUGAUUACAGCGCACGGCUGCCCACGCACUGAGUACGGCAGCGGAAGGUCGAGGGAAGGGGGCCGACCGUGGCGUGACGGCGCGGCACACGGCGUCGCUCUCGAGAACGAAAGCAUGACAAAAGCAAGAAGGUCUGCUGCGUCGAGUGUUUUCUCGCUCGUGCUGGUGCUGUGCACAAAUCCGAUUGGGGACGCGCGGGGGUGUAGCAGCGUACGCGCCGUUGGAGAGCGGGGGGUCAUACUGUGUUCGUCGCCCCCACCACCACCGCCUCUUUUACAUCUCUGCCAUCUCCUCCCCUCCCCUCCCCUCCCCAAUCCCGCCCUCGCCUUUCUUCCUCGGCAUCGCCACCACCACGACUCCUCUCCGCACCCGCUCGUUCGUUUUCUGUAUGCCCUUUCUGCCUCGCCAAG